CAGUCGCCGCGGUAAUACGAAGGGGGCUAGCGUUGUUCGGAUUUACUGGGCGUAAAGCGCACGUAGGCGGACUUUUAAGUCAGGGGUGAAAUCCCGGGGCUCAACCCCGUAACUGCCUUUGAUACUGGAAGUCUUGAGUAUGGUAGAGGUGAGUGGAAUUCCGAGUGUAGAGGUGAAAUUCGUAGAUAUUCGGAGGAACACCAGUGGCGAAGGCGGCUCACUGGACCAUUACUGACGCUGAGGUGCGAAAGCGUGGGGAGCAAACAGGAUUAGAUACCCCGGUAGUCCCUGUCUCUUAUAC
rnacentral:rRNA from 1 species